GCAGAAGGAAAAUGUCAGGUGGGAGCC
rnacentral:piRNA from 1 species